rnacentral:rRNA from 1 species
CGCCUCUUGCAUAAUAUAAGUAUAAGAGGUCCCGCCUGCCCUGUGACUACGUGUUUAACGGCCGCGGUAUUUUGACCGUGCAAAGGUAGCGCAAUCACUUGUCUUUUAAAUAAAGACCCGUAUGAAUGGCACAACGAGGGCUUAACUGUCUCCUCCCUCCCGUCAAUGAAAUUGAUUUCCCCGUGCAGAAGCGGGGAUAAGAAUAUAAGACGAGAAGACCCUAUGGAGCUUUAGACAUAUGGACGAUUUUGUGUUACAAGAAUUAGUAAAAAUGUAAAACAAGCAUUACUCUGCCAAAUGUCUUUGGUUGGGGCGACCGCGGAGUAAAAAAUAACCUCCGUGAGGACUGGGGUAUACCCUCAAAGCUAAGAGCACCUGUUCUAAGAAACAAAACUUUUGACCUUAAAUGAUCCGGUAGAACCGAUCAACGAACCGAGUUACCCUAGGGAUAACAGCGCAAUCCUCUUCAAGAGUCCCUAUCGACAAGGGGGUUUACGACCUCGAUGUUGGAUCAGGACAUCCUAAUGGUGUAGCCGCUAUUAAGGGUUCGUUUGUUCAACGAUUAAAGUCCU